ACACUCCUGCGGGAGGCAGCAGUGGGGAAUUUUGGACAAUUGGCGAAAGCCUGAUCCAGCAAUGCCGCGUGCAGGAUGAAGGCCUUCGGGUUGUAAACUGCUUUUGUACGGAACGAAAAAGCUCCUUCUAAUACAGGGGGCCCAUGACGGUACCGUAAGAAUAAGCACCGGCUAACUACGUGCCAGCAGCCGCGGUAAUACGUAGGGUGCGAGCGUUAAUCGGAAUUACUGGGCGUAAAGCGUGCGCAGGCGGUUAUGUAAGACAGAUGUGAAAUCCCCGGGCUCAACCUGGGAACUGCAUUCGUGACUGCAUGGCUAGAGUACGGUAGAGGGGGAUGGAAUUCCGCGUGUAGCAGUGAAAUGCGUAGAUAUGCGGAGGAACACCGAUGGCGAAGGCAAUCCCCUGGACCUGUACUGACGCUCAUGCACGAAAGCGUGGGGAGCAAACAGGAUUAGAAACCCUGGUAGUCCC
rnacentral:rRNA from 1 species